UACGUAGGGUGCAAGCGUUGUCCGGAAUUAUUGGGCGUAAAGAGCUCGUAGGCGGUCUGUCGCGUCGGCUGUGAAAUCCCGGGGCUCAACCCCGGAACUGCAUUCGAUACUGCUCUGCUCGAGUACUGGAGAGGAGACUGGAAUUUACGGUGUAGCAGUGAAAUGCGUAGAUAUCGUAAGGAAGACCAGUGGCGAAGGCGAGUCUCUGGACAGUUACUGACGCUGAGGCACGAAGGCCAGGGGAGCAAACGGG
rnacentral:rRNA from 1 species